UCAAGCACUCUCACCUUACUCUUAGACCACUAGGUUCUGUCCCUUUUGUGUGAGCCUUGCUGUGGGACCCUUGAGCUCCGUCUGAACUUGGACACAUAAAAGUUGGCCUUUCCACACUGCACUUACUCUGUAUUGGAUAUGAAAUUUGGGUGUGAGCACUGCCCGUGAUCCCUUGAGGUCCUUAGGGAACUCUGACACACCCAGGUAUGAGGAAAAACUAUGAAACAAUCUUGGCACUUGAGGUGAUUUAUU
rnacentral:lncRNA from 1 species